AGAGUUUGAUCCUGGCUCAGAACGAACGCUGGCGGCGUGCUUAAUACAUGCAAGUCGAACGAGAAAGUCACCUUCGGGUGGCGAGUAAAGUGGCAAACGGGUGAGUAACACGUAAGCAACCUACCCAUAAGUUUGGGACAACACUGCUAACGCGGUGCUAAUACCGGAUGUGAACAAUUUUUCGCAUGAUUAAUUGUUUAAAGACUUCGGUCGCUUAUGGAUGGGCUUGCGGACCAUUAGCUUGUUGGUGGGGUAACGGCCUACCAAGGCUUCGAUGGUUAGCCGACCUGAGAGGGUGAUCGGCCACAUUGGGACUGAGAUACGGCCCAGACUCCUACGGGAGGCAGCAGUAGGGAAUUUUGCGCAAUGGACGAAAGUCUGACGCAGCAACGCCGCGUGAGCGAUGAAUGUCUUCGGAUUGUAAAGCUCUGUUGAGUGGGAAGAAAAGCUUCGGUAUGACAGUACCACUCGAGGAAGCCCCGGCUAAUUACGUGCCAGCAGCCGCGGUAAUACGUAAGGGGCAAGCGUUGUUCGGAAUCACUGGGCGUAAAGGGAGCGCAGGCGGAUAAGUAAGUUAGGAGUUAAAGACGGCGGCUCAACCGUCGACCUGCUCUUAAUACUGCUUGUCUUGAGUACAGAAGAGGAAGACGGAAUUCCAGGUGUAGCGGUGGAAUGCGUAGAUAUCUGGAAGAACACCAGUUGCGUAGGCGGUCUUCUGGUCUGAUACUGACGCUCAUGCUCGAAAGCUAGGGGAGCAAACAGGAUUAGAUACCCUGGUAGUCCUAGCCGUAAACGAUGGACACUAGUUGUCGGAGGAGUCAAUCCUUUCGGUGACGAAGCUAACGCAUUAAGUGUCCCGUCUGGGGAGUACGCUCGCAAGGGUGGAACUCAAAGGAAUUGACGGGGGCCGCACAAGCGGUGGAGCAUGUGCUUUAAUUCGAUGCAACGCGAAGAACCUUACCUGGGUUUGACAUGGGGGUGCAACUCUUUGGAGACAGAGAGCCUUCCCUCGGGAACACCCUACACAGGUGCUGCAUGGUUGUCGUCAGCUCGUGUCGUGAGAUGUUGGGUUAAGUCCCGCAACGAGCGCAACCCUCGCCCUUAGUUGCCAUCAGGUCAAGCUGGGAACUCUAGGGGGACUGCUUGGUAUAACCAGGAGGAAGGUGGGGAUGACGUCAAAUCAUCAUGGCCCUUACGCCCAGGGCUAGACACGUGCUACAAUGGCCAGUACAGCGGGAUGCUACACUGCAAGGUGACGCUAAUCCCUUAAAACUGGUCUCAGUUCGGAUUGGAGUCUGCAACUCGACUCCAUGAAGGUGGAAUCGCUAGUAAUCGCGGAUCAGCAUGCCGCGGUGAAUACGUUCCCGGGCCUUGUACACACCGCCCGUCAAGCCAUGAAAGACGGUAGUGCCCAACGUCGUUCCUCUAACCGCAAGGAAGAGUGCGCCUAAGGUAAGACCGUUGAUUGGGGCUAAGUCGGAACAAGGUA
rnacentral:rRNA from 1 species